rnacentral:rRNA from 1 species
UACGGGGGGUGCGAGCGUUGUCCGGAAUCACUGGGCGUAAAGGGCGCGUAGGCGGUUUGGUAAGGCUGUGGUGAAAGCCCGGGGCUCAACCCCGGGUCUGCCAUGGCGACUGUCAGACUGGAGGGCUCGAGAGGCAGACGGAAUUCCGGGUGUAGCGGUGGAAUGCGUAGAGAUCCGGAAGAAGACCGGUGGCGAAGGCGGUCUGCUGGCGAGUCCCUGACGCUGAGGCGCGACAGCGUGGGGAGCAAACAGG